rnacentral:rRNA from 1 species
UGCAGUCGAGCGGCAGCACGGGUACUUGUACCUGGUGGCGAGCGGCGGACGGGUGAGUAAUGCCUAGGAAUCUGCCUGGUAGUGGGGGAUAACGCUCGGAAACGGACGCUAAUACCGCAUACGUCCUACGGGAGAAAGCAGGGGACCUUCGGGCCUUGCGCUAUCAGAUGAGCCUAGGUCGGAUUAGCUAGUUGGUGAGGUAAUGGCUCACCAAGGCGACGAUCCGUAACUGGUCUGAGAGGAUGAUCAGUCACACUGGAACUGAGACACGGUCCAGACUCCUACGGGAGGCAGCAGUGGGGAAUAUUGGACAAUGGGCGAAAGCCUGAUCCAGCCAUGCCGCGUGUGUGAAGAAGGUCUUCGGAUUGUAAAGCACUUUAAGUUGGGAGGAAGGGCAGUUACCUAAUACGUGAUUGUUUUGACGUUACCGACAGAAUAAGCACCGGCUAACUCUGUGCCAGCAGCCGCGGUAAUACAGAGGGUGCAAGCGUUAAUCGGAAUUACUGGGCGUAAAGCGCGCGUAGGUGGUUUGUUAAGUUGAAUGUGAAAUCCCCGGGCUCAACCUGGGAACUGCAUCCAAAACUGGCAAGCUAGAGUAUGGUAGAGGGUGGUGGAAUUUCCUGUGUAGCGGUGAAAUGCGUAGAUAUAGGAAGGAACACCAGUGGCGAAGGCGACCACCUGGACUGAUACUGACACUGAGGGGCGAAAGCGUGGGGAGCAAACAGGAUUAGAUACCCUGGUAGUCCACGCCGUAACGAUGUCAACUAGCCGUUGGGAGCCUUGAGCUCUUAGGGCGCAGCUAACGCAUUAAGUUGACCGCCUGGGGAGUACGGCCGCAAGGUUAAACUCAAAUGAAUUGACGGGGCCCGCCCAAGCGGGGGAGCAUGGGGUUUAAUUCAAAGCAACGGAAAAACCUUACCGGGCUUGACUCCAUGGACUUUCCAAAAUGGAUUGG